UACGAAGGGGGCUAGCGUUGCUCGGAAUCACUGGGCGUAAAGGGUGCGUAGGCGGGUUUUUAAGUCAGAGGUGAAAUCCUGGAGCUCAACUCCAGAACUGCCUUUGAUACUGAAAGUCUUGUAGUAUGGGAGAGGUGAGUGGAACUGCGAGUGUAGAGGUGAAAUUCGUAGAUAUUCGCAAGAACACCAGUGGCGAAGGCGGCUCACUGGCCCAUUACUGACGCUGAGGCACGAAAGCGUGGGGAGCAAACAGG
rnacentral:rRNA from 1 species